CAAUAGCAUAUAUUAACGUUGUUGCAGUUGAAAAGCUCGUAGUUGAACUUUUGGUAGGAGCGACCUGGCCUUGGGCGCAUGCCCUUGUUUGCCGUGUGUCGUAUCUGGCCAUCCUUUUCCGCUUCGGCGGGAAUCCUUUACUGUGAGUAAACUGGAGUGCUCAAAACAAGACGUUUGUUUGGUACAUUAAAGCAUGGAAUAAUAAGAUAGGACCUGGUUACUAUUUUGUUGGUUUGCAUAGCUAGGUAAUGAUUAACAGGGACAGUUGGGGGUAUUCGUAUUUAAUUGUCAGAGGUGAAAUUCUUGGAUUUAUGAAAGACGAACGGCUGCGAAAGCAUUUACCAAGGAUGUUUUCAUUAA
rnacentral:rRNA from 1 species